rnacentral:rRNA from 1 species
UGUCCUACGGGAGGCAGCAGUGAGGAAUAUUGGUCAAUGGGCGGAAGCCUGAACCAGCCAAGUCGCGUGAGGGAAUAAGGCCCUACGGGUCGUAAACCUCUUUUGCCGGGGAGCAAGGGCGGGGACGUGUCCCGGCCCGGAGAGUACCCGGAGAAAAAGCAUCGGCUAACUCCGUGCCAGCAGCCGCGGUAAUACGGAGGAUCCGAGCGUUAUCCGGAAUUACUGGGCGUAAAGGGUGCGUAGGUGGUUUCUUAAGUCAGAGGUGAAAGGCUACGGCUCAACCGUAGUAAGCCUUUGAAACUGGG